GCAGUGCAGAAUGGCAAGUUACCAGGGCACCAGCCUCCAAAUGGCUAUGGACCGGGAGCAGAACCAGGUUUUAAUGGUGGCCUCGAGCCACAGAAAAUUGGUUUAGGUUAUGGGAAUGGUGUCCUGGGAGCCAGGGUCUUCCCCGAGGCCCACCCACAGCCAGGGUUCCAUGGGGCCAAUGGUUUUAGGAAUAGUGAGUCAGACCCAGGGGACAAAGUGCAGUGGAGUGGGGGAGACAACAGCCCAGGGGCUAGGCGGGAAUGACCAGAGUCUCUUGGAGGGGAUGGGGUGGAAGCUCUGGUGUACCCCAAAGCAGCAGCUCUAGCCCCUGAAGGAAAUGGGCAGGCCGGGGUGCUGUGGAACUCUCGCUGGCCCACCCUCCAGGCCUGGGGGGCCGGCUUGAAGCCUGGAUAUCAGGCUGGAGAUGAAUAUGCUGAGGC
rnacentral:lncRNA from 1 species